rnacentral:rRNA from 1 species
AUACGUAGGCAGCGAGCGUUGUUCGGAGUUACUGGGCGUAAAGCGUGCGUAGGCGGUUCCGCAAGUUCGGUGAGAAAUAUCCCGGCUCAACUGGGAGGGUGCGCCGAAAACUGCGGAGCUUGAGCGUGGGAGAGGGAAGCAGAAUUCCUGGUGUAGCGGUGAAAUGCGUAGAUAUCAGGAGGAACACCGGUGGUGUAGACGGCUUCCUGGACCACUGCUGACGCUGAGGCACGAAAGCGUGGGGAGUAAACAGGAUUAGAAACCCUAGUAGUCC